rnacentral:tRNA from 1 species
CUCCCUGUGGCUCAGUGGGUAGAGCAUGGUGUUUGCAAUGGUGUUUGCAACGCCAGGGUUGUGGGUUCGAUUCCCACGGGGGGC